GCCAGGGUAGCCUAGUGGACAUGGCAUCUGCCCGGUAAGCGGAACACUGUGGGUUCGAUUCCCAUCCCUGGUCA